CCAAAAAAAAAAAAAAAUUACUUUCUUCAAACACUAAACAUUUCCAAAAACCUGUUGUGAACUGUAAAGUAUAAGCAUAGGAGAAGAAUCGUGCUUUCGUGGUCUCAUCAACACUCCCCAAAGGACAAUUCUGUCCUCCGAUUAAAAUUUAAUAAGGAUAUGGUACAUUUUAGUUGUAUAGUUGUACAUAUUGACUUUCAGUCUGGCUUGAACUGAGCUGGUUGAUUAUCAUGUUAGCAAACGGUAAUCAAAGAACUUGGGUUGAGCUGGUUUAAUGUGGUUGGCUGCCAUGAUUAGGUGUAGAUAUUCUUUUUCCUUAAA
rnacentral:misc_RNA from 1 species